AUUAAACGCUGGCGGCAUGCCUUACACAUGCAAGUCGAACGGCAGCACGGGGGCAACCCUGGUGGCGAGUGGCGAACGGGUGAGUAAAGCAUCGGAACGUGCCCUGGAGUGGGGGAGUAACGUAGCGAAAGUUACGCUAAUACCGCAUAUUCUGUGAGCAGGAAAGCAGGGGAUCGCAAGACCUUGCGCUCUGGGAGCGGCCGAUGUCGGAUUAGCUAGUUGGUGGGGUAAAGGCCUACCAAGGCGACGAUCCGUAGCGGGUCUGAGAGGAUGAUCCGCCACACUGGGACUGAGACACGGCCCAGACUCCUACGGGAGGCAGCAGUGGGGAAUUUUGGACAAUGGGCGAAAGCCUGAUCCAGCCAUGCCGCGUGAGUGAAGAAAGGCCUUCGGGUUGGUUAAAGAC
rnacentral:rRNA from 1 species